UACAAGCAAAAUUCUGCUUGGUCAUAGUGUUAUGUAACUGCUAAGGGACUUCUUAUUCCCUGAGGUUAUCUCCAUGACAACAGGGUUCAAGUCUCUUGAGGCCUUUGGCACACGCGACCCUUCUGCAGGGCAAGACCCCAGGGCCCUGGGGGUGGGGACAUGUAUGGGUUAAAGGUCACUGGACACCGUGGACACUGAAAGCGAAUUGGGAAAGGGUUAAGGUGACACAGAGGCCGAGGUCGCCUCAGAAAAUGCCUUGCAUUUCCAUAGCAUUAGUUGUGGUCAAAGAAGUCCUUUCUGGCCGUCAAACCCAUGAUGACCCUUGGACCGGAUGGCACACGCCACCAAUUUAAUCUGAUAGACCGCUAACUCACAAUCCUGUUUCACCCUCAGUUUGGCUACGUUCUUUCUUGAAUAAAUCUGUGAUCUACAUCUCGUGCCCAGUAGGUGAAUCUUUGCUUAGGUUGCAUUCUACUGCCCCUUUUUAUUUUAGCAGAGAUUUGAGAUACUUCUGCCACUGGUUUUCGAACAGAUACCCCUUUCCAGGGCUAUAACCACCUUCAACAUUGAGGAGGACACAUAUGCCUAAAUAUUAAGAAGAGUGGAUGAUUCUUGAACUUUUGGCUAUUUUUUGGCUUUACAGUUGGUUACUUCCUUGCCCCCUUUUCCUUCAGUUUCAGGCUACUUUUCAUGGUUUGGUCCUUAUAGGCAACAUAGCAAGGAGCCAAAUAGAAGGUGGACUGGGAAAAAAUCAAUACUUUGCGUGUCCAGUGGUGUAUACGGAUAACAAAUACAGCAACAGAAGAUGCCAAGAUCAGUUGGCCAAUGUGGAGAGAGAGAGAAAGAAGAAUAAAUCAAGAAAAAAAUACAGGGAAUGAGUUGGGAAAAGAGUCAGGCCCCCACUCUCUCCUUCCUCUUCCCUUUGUUUUUCCCUUUUUCUUUUCUUGUGAGCUGUAACGUGUUCCUCAGUUCGCUUUGUUAUUGCUUGACAACCUGCUGACACUCACCCACCAACUCCCUGAAAUUCUUGUUGCCUCUCCCACAGUCGUUCUUUUUUGGUUUCUCAUCCAUAUUUCUGUCUCACAUCCAUGCCAUAUCAUAUUGUAUAGUUACUAUUUAUUACUUUCUCAACAAGUUAAAAGAGUCUGGGAAGGGAAAGAAGAGAGAAAAGAAGGGCGUCGGGAUGAGAUUUGUGGCUGUGGUCAUUCCAGCAGCUCUUGUCCCACCUGCCAUCCAUCCAUGAUGGAGGGGGUGAAAGAAGAGUAGAGUGGGGAGCUGCAUCUCUCUUUCCCUCGACUAACUCACCCUGACAGGCGGGAACGCAGACUGCAGAGAGGAGGAGGACGAUGAGGAGGGGCAUCAGCCCCCACCCUCCAAUCAGAUGCUCCCUUCGCUCUCAGCCAGUGGCAGCAGGGCAAAAACAGUAGCAGGGCUAAAGCUAGUGGUCCUCUCUUCUCCUCUCCUCUUUUGCCUUCUCUUUUCCUAACACUCUAGGCAUGGAGUACUAUUCCUCCAUCUCCUGGGCGUCACGCCUCUCUCCUCCACCCUGGCUGACCACUGCAGUGCAUCCACGAGUGUUCAGAGGUGUCAAAGGACCCGAGCUGUGACUCUAAAGAAGAGACGGCGAGUGGGACAUACACAUCGGAUUCUCUGACAAUACAGGCUCAGGUUCCUGUGAGUUUGCCAUGGCGACCAGAGGGCCCUGACAGCAGCGGGGAUCACAGUUUUGCUGAGGAAGGGUGUGUUUGUGUGUGUGUGUGUGUGUGUAGUUGAGGGGGUGUGGGGGUUAUUGGGGGACACACGCCAGAUGCCUUGGGGAGACGCCCUUCAGCUCACCAGCUGGGAGAGGCUAAACUGCCCCUCACGCGUCGGUUCUCGGCCUUAACGGAUUAGAGUGUUUGUUUACGGCACACUUCGGCUAUCAUGCGCUCACAAACACAAAAACAACAAUAAUAUAAAACGAUACUUCUCAAUUGGAUUCAGGACCUAAUACUGUAGCAAAAUUGUUUAUCGUACAAAAUUAAACAAAAAAUGUUCUUAAAGUCA